rnacentral:sRNA from 1 species
UACAACAAACAAAAUGAUAAGGUGUACGC